rnacentral:rRNA from 1 species
UUAAGUGACUAAGCGUACACGGUGGAUGCCUUGGCAGUCAGAGGCGAUGAAAGACGUAGUAACUUGCGAUAAGCCCAGAUUAGGUAGUAACAACCAUUUGAGUCUGGGAUUUCUGAAUGGGGAAACCCACGUGCAUAAGCACGUAUCCUUACCUGAAUACAUAGGGUAAGGAGGCGAACCGGGGGAACUGAAACAUCUAAGUACCCCGAGGAAAAGAAAUCAACCGAGAUUCCGAAAGUAGCGGCGAGCGAAAUUGGACUAGCCCUUAAGCUUUACACGCGUUAGACGAACGGUCUGGAAAGUCCGACGAUACAGGGUGAUAGUCCCGUAGUUGACGACGUGUGUUCAGUGAAAUCGAGUAGGGCGGGACACGUGAUAUCCUGUCUGAAUAUGGGGGGACCAUCCUCCAAGGCUAAAUACUACUGACUGACCGAUAGUGAACCAGUACCGUGAGGGAAAGGCGAAAAGAACCCCUGUGAGGGGAGUGAAAUAGAACCUGAAACCGUGUACGUACAAGCAGUAGGAGCAGGCUUUGUCCUGUGACUGCGUACCUUUUGUAUAAUGGGUCAGCGACUUAUAUUCAGUGGCAAGGUUAACCAUCUAGGGGAGCCGUAGGGAAACCGAGUCUUAACUGGGCGUUCAGUCUCUGGAUAUAGACCCGAAACCAGGUGAUCUAGCCAUGGGCAGGUUGAAGGUUGAGUAACAUCAACUGGAGGACCGAACCGACUAAUGUUGAAAAAUUAGCGGAUGACUUGUGGCUAGGGGUGAAAGGCCAAUCAAACCUGGAGAUAGCUGGUUCUCCCCGAAAGCUAUUUAGGUAGCGCCUCGGACGAAUACUACUGGGGGUAGAGCACUGUUAAGGCUAGGGGGUCAUCCCGACUUACCAACCCUUUGCAAACUCCGAAUACCAGUAAGUACUAUCCGGGAGACACACGGCGGGUGCUAACGUCCGUCGUGGAGAGGGAAACAACCCAGACCGCCAGCUAAGGUCCCAAAUUACUACUAAGUGGGAAACGAUGUGGGAAGGCUCAGACAGCCAGGAUGUUGGCUUAGAAGCAGCCAUCAUUUAAAGAAAGCGUAAUAGCUCACUGGUCGAGUCGGCCUGCGCGGAAGAUGUAACGGGGCUAAGUAGUAAACCGAAGCUGCGGCAAUGUGCUUUUGCACAUUGGGUAGGGGAGCGUUCUGUAAGCGGUUGAAGGUGUGUGGUAACGCAUGCUGGACGUAUCAGAAGUGCGAAUGCUGACAUGAGUAACGAUAAAGGGGGUGAAAAACCUCCUCGCCGGAAGACCAAGGGUUCCUGUCCAACGUUAAUCGGGGCAGGGUAAGUCGACCCCUAAGGCGAGGCCGAAAGGCGUAGUCGAUGGGAAACGGGUUAAUAUUCCCGUACUUCUUACAAUUGCGAUGGGGGGACGGAGAAGGCUAGGUGGGCCUGGCGACGGUUGUCCAGGUUCAAGUGCGUAGGCUUAAGAGUUAGGUAAAUCCGGCUCUUUUUAAGGCUGAGACACGACGUCGAGCACCUACGGGUGUGAAGUCAUUGAUGCCAUGCUUCCAGGAAAAGCCUCUAAGCUUCAGAUUGUAAGGAAUCGUACCCCAAACCGACACAGGUGGUCGGGUAGAGAAUACCAAGGCGCUUGAGAGAACUCGGGUGAAGGAACUAGGCAAAAUGGUACCGUAACUUCGGGAGAAGGUACGCUCUCGACGGUGAAGUCCCUCGCGGAUGGAGCUAUUGAGAGUCGCAGAUACCAGGUGGCUGCAACUGUUUAUUAAAAACACAGCACUGUGCAAAAUCGUAAGAUGACGUAUACGGUGUGACGCCUGCCCGGUGCCGGAAGGUUAAUUGAUGGGGUUAGACUUCGGUCGAAGCUCUUGAUCGAAGCCCCGGUAAACGGCGGCCGUAACUAUAACGGUCCUAAGGUAGCGAAAUUCCUUGUCGGGUAAGUUCCGACCUGCACGAAUGGCGUAAUGAUGGCCACGCUGUCUCCACCCGAGACUCAGUGAAAUUGAAAUCGCUGUGAAGAUGCAGUGUACCCGCGGCUAGACGGAAAGACCCCGUGAACCUUUACUACAGCUUGGCACUGAACAUUGACCCUACAUGUGUAGGAUAGGUGGGAGGCUUUGAAGCAGGUACGCCAGUAUCUGUGGAGCCGUCCUUGAAAUACCACCCUUGUAGUGUUGAUGUUCUAACGUCGACCCCUUAUCGGGGUUGCGGACAGUGCCUGGUGGGUAGUUUGACUGGGGCGGUCUCCUCCCAAAGAGUAACGGAGGAGCACGAAGGUGGGCUAAUCACGGUUGGACAUCGUGAGGUUAGUGCAAUGGCAUAAGCCCGCUUGACUGCGAGAAUGACAAUUCGAGCAGGUGCGAAAGCAGGUCAUAGUGAUCCGGUGGUUCUGAAUGGAAGGGCCAUCGCUCAACGGAUAAAAGGUACUCCGGGGAUAACAGGCUGAUACCGCCCAAGAGUUCAUAUCGACGGCGGUGUUUGGCACCUCGAUGUCGGCUCAUCACAUCCUGGGGCUGAAGUCGGUCCCAAGGGUAUGGCUGUUCGCCAUUUAAAGUGGUACGCGAGCUGGGUUUAGAACGUCGUGAGACAGUUCGGUCCCUAUCUGCCGUGGGCGUUGGAAGAUUGAAGGGGGCUGCUCCUAGUACGAGAGGACCGGAGUGGACGAACCUCUGGUGUUCGGGUUGUGUCGCCAGACGCAUUGCCCGGUAGCUAAGUUCGGAAUCGAUAACCGCUGAAAGCAUCUAAGCGGGAAGCGAGCCCUGAGAUGAGUCUUCCCUGAUACUUUAAGUAUCCUAAAGGGUUGUCGGAGACUACGACGUUGAUAGGUCAGGUGUGUAAGUGCUGUGAGGCAUUGAGCUAACUGAUACUAAUUGCCCGUGAGGCUUAACC